rnacentral:tRNA from 2 species
UAGCUCAGCUGGUUAGAGCGCACGCCUGAUAAGCGUGAGGUCGAUGGUUCGAGUCCAU